AGAGUUUGAUCCUGGCUCAGGAUGAACGCUAGCGGCAGGCUUAACACAUGCAAGUCGAGGGGUAACAUUGGAGCUUGCUUCAGAUGACGACCGGCGCACGGGUGCGUAACGCGUAUAGAGUCUGCCUUACACUGAGGGAUAGCCUUUGGAAACGAAGAUUAAUACCUCAUGGUAUGAUGACUUGGCAUCAAGACAUCAUUAAAGGUUACGGUGUAAGAUGACUAUGCGUCCUAUUAGCUAGUUGGUAAGGUAACGGCUUACCAAGGCAACGAUAGGUAGGGGCCCUGAGAGGGGGAUCCCCCACACUGGUACUGAGACACGGACCAGACUCCUACGGGAGGCAGCAGUGAGGAAUAUUGGACAAUGGAGGCAACUCUGAUCCAGCCAUGCCGCGUGAAGGAUGACUGCCCUAUGGGUUGUAAACUUCUUUUAUACAGGAAGAAACCGUUCCACGUGUGGAGCUUUGACGGUACUGUAUGAAUAAGCACCGGCUAACUCCGUGCCAGCAGCCGCGGUAAUACGGAGGGUGCAAGCGUUAUCCGGAAUCAUUGGGUUUAAAGGGUCCGUAGGCGGACUAAUAAGUCAGAGGUGAAAUCCCGCAGCUCAACUGUGGAACUGCCUUUGAAACUGUUAGUCUUGAGUUAUUGUGAAGUGGUUAGAAUAUGUAGUGUAGCGGUGAAAUGCUUAGAGAUUACAUGGAAUACCGAUUGCGAAGGCAGAUCACUAACAAUAUACUGACGCUGAUGGACGAAAGCGUGGGGAGCGAACGGGAUUAGAUACCCCGGUAGUCCACGCCGUAAACGAUGGAUACUAGCUGUUCGGAAUUUAUUCUGAGUGGCUAAGCGAAAGUGAUAAGUAUCCCACCUGGGGAGUACGUUCGCAAGAAUGAAACUCAAAGGAAUUGACGG
rnacentral:rRNA from 1 species